rnacentral:rRNA from 1 species
UCAACGCUGGCGGCGUGCCUACCACAUGCAAGUCGAACGCGAAAGCCCCGCAAGGGGUCAGUAGAGUGGCAAACGGGUGAGUAACACGUGGGUGACCUGCCUUCGAGUGGGGGAUAACGUCCCGAAAGGGACGCUAAUACCGCAUGACAUCCUGCUUUUGAAAAAGCGGAGAUCAAAGCUGGGGAUCGCAAGACCUAGCGCUUGAAGAGGGGCCCGCGCCUGAUUAGCUAGUUGGUGAGGUAACGGCUCACCAAGGCGACGAUCAGUAUCCGGCCUGAGAGGGCGGACGGACACACUGGGACUGAGACACGGCCCAGACUCCUACGGGAGGCAGCAGUGGGGAAUUGUUCGCAAUGGGCGCAAGCCUGACGACGCAACGCCGCGUGGAGGACGAAGAUCUUCGGGUCGUAAACUCCUGUCGAGCGGGACGAACGCUUCGCGGAUGAAUAAUCCGCGGAAUUGACGGUACCGCUAAAGGAAGCCCCGGCUAACUCCGUG